UUCACUCUUUCAUCGGCAAUGAAACCUAGCGCGAACCCAGAAUUCUCCCAUUUCUCUUUAAUAUGGAAUGGAAGCGAUGAGAAAUCUUCCAUUUCUUCGUAUCUUCAUCAAUUUUUUUACCUUAUAUCAGUUAUUCUUCAUUCAAUUUACAAAAAUCUUAGAUUCUCGGUGUUAAUGAAGUUCGCUGAAAUGUAAAUUCCAGGAGUAAGUUUAGUUGUAACUAACCGACGGAGAACGAAGAAGAUAUGAUUGGAUCUCUUAAUAAACGUUGUAGCAGGAAACAUAGAGAACAUUAUUAGGGCACUAGGACUGCAUAAGGAAAGAGCAGAAACAAUUCAGUGCUUCUCUUCUGAUUCUUUGGCGGAUGUCUGGACCCACCUAAUCCGAUGGUGUUUGCAAGUCCCAUUGGCUGGCGGAAAUGGGUAUAUGCUGCUGAUGCAUAUGCAAUAUUCUGCACAGGAAAGUGGGUCAAGUAAACCCCUAAGAUCUUAUGCUGAAUAAAUACUGGGAAUGACAAGUUAAAGAGUCAUGAGACAAGUUAAAGAGUCAGAUGCAGAAGUAUUGACUGAGAUUGGUCAUAAGACCAUCAUAACUCUGAGCUUGUGAUAUUGAAGCGUGCAAGAAUGGCACUGCAAGAGCACAUAAGAAGAUGAAAGAUGCAAAAUGUUAUGCUCUGCCUCGUUAUAAUUAUUCAAGGUAAAGACAGAGAUGAACUUCAGUUGCAGUGCGAGCCCUCCAUCAAUGCGUCACAUGCAUGUCCACAUAAUAGCAUUGUGGUUGAGAUGUGAUUAUCUUAUGGUUCCGUUUCAGUCUGGAAUGUAGGAGAGGAUCCAUUUAGGAUGAAGUAUUUCACCCGAAUAUCAACAACAAUGGAAGUAUUUUCCUAGGCAUCCUUAAAGAGCAAGGGGCUGCUGCUCUUACCAUCUCUAAGGUUAGCUUGAAAUUUCAUUUCCCGCCUUUGUUUUCUCUCUCUCCCCAUAAGUUUUCUUGCCUAAAUUUUAUGAUGUCAUGUGAGACAUUGUUUGGUUUGCAUUCUUCCAUCUAUCUUUUCUAUUACCUCUGCUUACCAAGACAUUUUACUUUCUACUAUUAGCUACUUCAUGGCCUCAAUAUUGUUUCCCUGUUUCCAUUGUGAUAUUCUUACUGAGUAUAAGUCGGCCACAAAGUAAUGCAUUGUUUAACCAUAUUACAUAUAUAGAGUACGUGUGUACAUAGUUGUCCUGUUGAUUGUUACUGUGUGCUUAGCUGUACAAAUGCUAAUUAUUAGUGGUAAAUAACUGUAUUAUACCUGUUGCACAAUUGACAUCAAUAUUUUUUUUUCCCUUCUGUUUUAUGUAUUAGAGACUCAUAAGCUCAAAAUUGUAGAGUGCCCAAGCCUACCACAAGGGUUUGCGGAGGUUGAUGGUUCAAAUCCAUCUGAGUUCCAAUAUGUAUAGCGCUAUUGGUGUUUAGGUAGUCGAUUCCACUUUUAUGUAUGUAAGAGCUGGUGGAUCUUGUCUUGUCUCAUGAAUAUAUAGCCUGUUUUGUACAUAUGAAUAUUGGAUAAUAUUGGAUUUUCUGGAUUUUGUAGACAUGUACAUAGUUAUACACUUUAUCUUGUCUCAUCAGUAUAUGACAUGGUUUGUUAGUGCGGAUGUUGGAUUUUCUGAAUUCUUGUAGAUGUGUACAUAGCAGUACAACAUUGUUCCGUCUCAUGGAUAUAUUGCAUGUUCAGUGAGUAUGAA